CAUUUUGACAUCUAUUAACUAAUAUAGGCUCUUUGAAGACAGUGGCAUAUUGUUUGUCUCCAUACUGUCAAUGCGCAGCGUAAUCUCUGACAAAUGAAUUUCGCUUGUCGCCCAGGCUGGAGUGCAAUGACGCGAUCUCGGCUCACUGCAACCUUCGCCUCCUUGGUUCAAGUGAUUCUCCUGCCUCAGACUCCCGAGUACCUGGGAUUACAGGCAUGUGCCAGCACGCCUGUAUUUUUGUAUUUUUAGUAGAGACGGGGUUUCACCAUGUUGGCUAGGCUGGUCUGGAAAUCCUGACCUCAGGUGAUCUGCCCGCCUUGGCCUCCCAAAGUGCUGGGAUUACAGGCAUGAGGCAUCGUGCCCGGCCUGUUGUAAUUUCCUUCUCUAUACUAAAAGGUGUUUUACACAUAUAAAGUAUUUUUCUUUAUUAUAAUGAGAAAUAAAUCUUAUAAAAAUA
rnacentral:lncRNA from 1 species